GCCUGUGUGGUGUAAUGGUAUGCGUGUCAAACUACAAGUCUGGAGACCAGGGUUCAAAUCUCUGUUCAGCCU